UACGUAGGUGGCGAGCGUUGUCCGGAAUUACUGGGUGUAAAGCGCGUGUAGGCGGGAGGCCAAGUCUGCUGUGAAAUCGCCCGGCUCAACUGGGCGGGGUCGGUGGAAACUGGUCACCUGGAGGACGGUAGAGGCGAGUGGAAUUCCCGGUGUAGUGGUGAAAAUGCGUAGAGAUCGGGAGGAACACCAGUGGCGAAGGCGGCUCGCUGGGCCGGACUGACGCUGAGACGCG
rnacentral:rRNA from 1 species